rnacentral:rRNA from 1 species
CUCUCUCCACACCUAGUGGGUAUUGGCACUGUACACAGUGCUCAAAACAAUCAUGCGUAUGUGUUAACCACAAUGUGCGCUUAAAACUUAACUAUUGACCUCGUAUAAGGUAAGAGUACCCACUGAACUUAAGCAUAUCAAUAAGUGGAGGAAAAGAAACCAACAGGGAUUGCCUUAGUAGCGGCGAGUGAAGCGGCAAAAGCUCAAAUUUGAAAUCUGCCUUACGGCCGAGUUGUAAUUUGUAGAUGGUAACUCUGCGACAAGUCUUUGCUCAAGUGUUCUGGAAAGGACCAUCAUGGAGGGUGAUAAUCCCGUGAGGCAUUGAUGCAGUUGCGUGUAGAGUGCUAUCGAAGAGUCGAGUUGUUUGGGAAUGCAGCUCAAAGUGGGUGGUAGACACCAUCUAAAGCUAAAUAUUGGCGAGAGACCGAUAGCGAACAAGUACUGUGAAGGAAAGAUGAAAAGCACUUUGAAAAGAGAGUGAAAAAGUACGUGAAAUUAUUGAUACAGAAGGAUAUACAAUUGGACACGGAGUCUUGGGUUCGCUGCUUCUUCGGGAGUAGUUUGUCCCUUGAUUCUUCACCAGCAUCAGUUUUGGCAGGAGGAUAAACAACAUGGAAUGUAGCUGCUUGCAGUGUUAUAGACUUGUUGCAUACUCUUUGCCGGGACUGAGGUCAGCCUUUGUAGGAUGCUGGGGUAACGAUUGUAUAUCACCCGUCUUGAAACACGGACC